AAAGGCGACUUAUGAAGGCAGAACAGGACUAGUCCCUGAAAACUACGUUGUCUUCCUCUAAUAGUAUUAGUGGAUGGCAGUAUCUUCAUGGUAUCCAUGGUAACACAUAAUCAGUGCUAUAAUUUUAUCUGACACAGAUAUGGGGGACCAGCCACUAAAAGAAACAUCUAUGUGUCUCAAGUUUUUCACCAGCAGACUAUGUAGCUCCUACUUGAUGGAAAGAGAAACACACAUAUUUGCAUCAUAGCUAUUCUUUUUGCUGUUUUCUUACUUUUAAGAUAUGCUUCUCUCUCUCCCUGUCUCUCUCUCUCCCUCUCUCCCACUCUCCCUCUCUCCCUCUCCCUUUCUCAGAGGAAGUGAUUUGUGACAGAGUCUGCUUGCUAGCAGUUGCAGAAUCCUAGAUACCAAACCCAAUCCUGCAUACCCCAAAUUUGGAAGUCAGAAAUCUGCUCUGCCCAUGUUAAAAUCUGUUCCUUAUUGCCUGAUAGUCUCUGGGGAACCUUGAAAUCAUUACUUUAAAAUUGUAAUUUAAAUUGUUCAUUUAUUAUUUUUGUUUUUUUAAUAUACUGUUUUUAUAUGUGAUUGUUUUGCUGGUCCUAAACAUUUCAAGAAAAUCAGUCCUUAUUUUAUCAUAACUAUAUUUUAUUUGUUUUCUAAGAUGAUAGUAUUUGAAAGCAAUAAUGUAUAUGAAGUCUGUAAAGUAAGCCGAGUGUAAGUCAAACACUGAUUCCACCAUAAGCAGUCCAUCCAGAACAGUAGAUGGUUUCUCUGAUUCCAAGCGCAAGUCGGAGAAACACGUCUGUAAAGCCUGUAAGGGUAUAUUUUUGUCGCAGGCUAGAUGUGACUUAUGAAGCCCAGAUGAACCAUCCUUCCUUUAGACGUCAUGUAAACUGAUCUUGGGACUUUUAUAAAAUUUUCCAUUAAAACACACGUGUUAAUAAAUCACAUGUGCACAUCUUUUGCUUCCUGUCAGUAUGGUGACAUUGUAAUGGCCAUUGUGGGCCAAUGUAAAGGUGUGGUGUACCAUGCAGCCAGCCCACUGGAACUGCUACGGCCUCUGGUUUUAAUGAUGGGGAAGUUUUGGACUCAGAUGCUGUUGUACAAAUGAUAAAGACAUUGUUUGAACUCUUAAUUGAGAAACUGUGCCUUCUAAACCUUUUUUUACUGGAAACAGGAAAUGAACACCUACUCGAUUCUUAGACCACAAAGUGUGCUUUCUUAAAAAAAGAUUUAUUUAUUUAUAUGAAUGUUUUGUCCACAUGUGUGUAUGUGUACUACAUGUAUGCCUUUUACCCAUGAAGGUCAGAAAAGAGAGGCUAAUAGCCUUGAACUAGAAUUACCGAGGGAACUGAGUUACUAAUGGUCGUAACUCCAGCCCCCGACCACAGAGUUUGAGAGCAAGCCAUCAUUGUUAACAGGAGUGGAAUUUACAAGGUUUUCUAGGAUGGCAUUCAGCCAUAGCCUUUCCUAUGAAUUCCACUGAAUUAUAGACCUCAUACAGCAGAGAGGUAUUUACUCUUCCUUAUGAGGUUGCAAACUAAGGGUUGUAUAUCAGCCACUCCUUCUAUCAUAACCUAUUUCAAUAAUUCCAAUGAAUAUAUACAAUGACAAAAAGCACUUCUUCUCCACAGUCUGAAAGGUUGUCUGCCCA
rnacentral:lncRNA from 1 species